rnacentral:rRNA from 1 species
AACGAACGCUGGCGGCAUGCCUAACACAUGCAAGUCGAACGAGACCUUCGGGUCUAGUGGCGCACGGGUGCGUAACGCGUGGGAACCUGCCCUUAGGUUCGGAAUAACUCCCCGAAAGGGGUGCUAAUACCGGAUAAUGUCUUCGGACCAAAGAUUUAUCGCCUUUGGAUGGGCCCGCGUUGGAUUAGCUAGUUGGUAGGGUAAAAGCCUACCAAGGCGACGAUCCAUAGCUGGUCGGAGAGGAUGAUCAGCCACACUGGGACUGAGACACGGCCCAGACUCGUACGGGAGGCAGCAGUGGGGAAUAUUGGACAAUGGGCGAAAGCCUGAUCCAGCAAUGCCGCGUGAGUGAUGAAGGCCUUAGGGUUGUAAAGCUCUUUUAGCCGGGAUGAUAAUGACAGUACCGGGAGAAUAAGCUCCGGCUAACUACGUG